UCCCUGGUGGCUCAGAUGCCAAAGAACCUGCUUGCAAAGCAGGAGAUCCAGGUUCUAUGCCUGGGUUGGGAA
rnacentral:tRNA from 1 species